GGGUGUUCGCCAUUAAUGGCGGCAGGUUUUGUAGCAUCGGUCGGGCCGCCGUUG
rnacentral:ncRNA from 2 species